UACAGAGGGUGCAAGCGUUAAUCGGAAUUACUGGGCGUAAAGCGUGCGCAGACGGUUGCGUAAGUCAGAUGUGAAAGCCCCGGGCUCAACCUGGGAACUGCAUUUGAUACUCUGGUGCUGGAGUUCGGGAGAGGAGAGUGGAAUUCCCAGUGUAGAGGUGAAAUUCGUAGAUAUUCGCAAGAACACCAGUGGCGAAGGCGGCUCACUGGCCCGGUACUGACGCUGAGGUGACGAAAGCGUGGGGAGCAAACGGG
rnacentral:rRNA from 1 species